rnacentral:rRNA from 1 species
GAUGAACGCUGGCGGCGUGCCUAAUACAUGCAAGUCGAGCGAGCGGACGAGAAGCUUGCUUCUCUGAUGUUAGCGGCGGACGGGUGAGUAACACGUGGAUAACCUACCUAUAAGACUGGGAUAACUUCGGGAAACCGGAGCUAAUACCGGAUAAUAUUUUGAACCGCAUGGUUCAAAAGUGAAGGACGGUCUUGCUGUCACUUAUAGAUGGAUCCGCGCUGCAUUAGCUAGUUGGUAAGGUAACGGCUUACCAAGGCAACGAUGCAUAGCCGACCUGAGAGGGUGAUCGGCCACACUGGAACUGAGACACGGUCCAGACUCCUACGGGAGGCAGCAGUAGGGAAUCUUCCGCAAUGGGCGAAAGCCUGACGGAGCAACGCCGCGUGAGUGAUGAAGGUCUUCGGAUCGUAAAACUCUGUUAUUAGGGAAGAACAUAUGUGUAAGUAACUGUGCACAUCUUGACGGUACCUAAUCAGAAAGCCACGGCUAACUACGUA